rnacentral:ncRNA from 1 species
GCUUUCAACAUCCCCGUCCCCCGGCCCGGCCAAGCGCCUCCGUGAGACUGAAGGC